rnacentral:SRP_RNA from 1 species
GCUGGGUGUGGUGGCGGGUGCCUGUAAUCCCAGCUACUUGGGAGGCUGAGGCAGGAGAAUCACUUGAAUCCAGGAGGUCGAGGUUGCAGUGAGCCGAGAUGGCACCACUGUACUCUAGCCUGGGCCACAGAGUGAGACUCUGCCUUAA